UACGAAGGGUGCAAGCGUUAAUCGGAAUUACUGGGCGUAAAGCGCGCGUAGGUGGUUCAGUAAGUUGGAAGUGAAAUCCCCGCGCUCAACCUGGGAACUGCUUUCAAAACUGCUGAGCUAGAGUACGGUAGAGGGUGGUGGAAUUUCCUGUGUAGCGGUGAAAUGCGUAGAUAUAGGAAGGAACACCAGUGGCGAAGGCGACCACCUGGACCGAUACUGACACUGAGGUGCGAAAGCGUGGGGAGCAAACAGG
rnacentral:rRNA from 1 species